AUUAUACAUAUCAUUGUCAUUCUUCAAGAUAUCCACAGAACAUUCUGAAGAAGGGAUACUUGCAGAUGAUAGUCUGGAGAAAUCUAAUGGAAAGUUAGGAAAAUUACUUACCUGUAUUCUGGCAUGGCGUAAUUUUUGUAAUCCUUAGCCUGCUGAUCUACCAUGGAAUAAAGAAAAAGGAUUUAAACCUCAUAAAGAAAGUUGGCAGGAAAGUUGGAACAAAGUGGCAACUAUAACAUGGAUUUUAACCGUGGCAAUUGUGUUGAAGAAUUUGAAAAACCAUUGUCUGAUUUAUCAACCAUAUCAAAGUGUCAUGUCCCGCCACUUUGCCAGUCAAAUUUUGCAUCUCGAUAGGAGCAGAAGAAUCUAGAGUUGUGGAGAGGCUUAUGGAGAACUCUAAAAUCCCUUUCAUAUUUCAAGAAGACUUUGGAAUAUUUGUAGAGAAUUCUAGAGGUACCAAAGUGAAAUACUUAGAGAUUUAUAAAGUAAUUAUUAAUUGCACUUUAGCCUCUAAAUUUUAGUAUAAAUAGAUGAACAUUCAUUUGCAAAGCAUCACUCAAGUUAUAAGCAAUAAAAAACUUCUUUCAAAAGCUCUCUAAUAAAGUAUUUCUUUACCUUCUCUUUGCUAUCUCUCUUUGCAAUUGCGAUCUAGCUUUUGUGAUUGCGAAGCUUACAAGAUAGUGAAAGAAUAUGAGUAAGUUGUCAAGUGUCACACGAAACAUUAGUUAGACUCUAAGUCCGUGACGAAAGAGCUACCAAUAACUUUUCAAUAGGCUGAAACUUUAGAUUGGAGAAGGGGCUUUUGACCUGUUCACAAGGUAUCAACACUUUAUGUAUGUUUAAGAAAUACAUCGAUUUAUUCCCAAAAGAUAAUCAUGCAUAGUAUAGAUGACAUACAAAAAACUUCCCGAACUUUCAGAGUAACGCUUCUCUUUAGUUUAGUGUACUUUCUCAUCAGGAUAGGUAAAGAAAAUGUUAACAUGAAGAUUGUGAUGUUUAGGGCAUAAUUGAAGGACAUGAAAUAACUGUCAAGCGGUUGUCUACAAGUAGAAAAUGAGUUCAAGAUAGGAAUCUGGUGAAGAUUGUUGGUUGUUGCAUUGAAGAUGGUGAAAAAAUAUUGAUAUAUGAGUACUUGCAUAAUUCUCUAUCCAAUAAUGUGUAAAUUAUAUACUAGUUGUGUUACAGUGAACUAAUACCUAUAGUAUUACUUCAGUAAUCUUAUUCCAAAUAUUCUGUUAAUGAGCUAACAAAAUUUUGGCAGAUGACACACAAAUCAAGGUAAUCAACAGUAUAGGUUGGGGACUUGUGUAUUUGCGUCAAGAUUCACAAUUAAGAAUAAUUCGUAGAAACCUGAAAACUAUUAACAUAUCAGACUUCGGCUUGGCAAAAGUAUGUGAAGGGAUGACAUUGGAGCCCAGACAAACCGAGUUAUUGUAACACAGUAGAAUAAAGAAACUCUUAUACUUGGUAGCAUUUUUUCCCUACCUAUUCUUACAUCCCGUGAGGACGAACAACUUUGAUGGGUGCGCAGUGACCACUGGGCCAAACGCUUCAGUGUUAUCAUUGGUUCCCAAGAAAUAUUUAUAUACGUUCUACUUCAUAAUUUAAUACAAAUAUAGAAUCUAUGAAAAAGCCAUUGGCUUCGGCCGAACCACCCUCGACUACCGUAGCUCCGCCCCUGUCUAUAAAAGAUCGUCCAAAAAUGUCAUAUGUUGUGAUGAUGUUAAACAAUGCACGGCUAAAUAACCAAGUUUUUACAUAGAUCCCAGAUAGUGAACAAUUAGCUCACUUGUUUGCAACACACUUUGUAGCAGUACAUGUGACUAAGCUUGCAACAUGCUGCCAUCUGACAUUGAAUGUUUCCACCAAAUUCAAUACAUAUCAAUAUUUGUUGGCUUGUUAUAUUAAUGAACCUUAUUUAUUAAUUUGAUGUAAAUAUCAAAUAAAACUAUUUUUGUGGACCUUA